AGUUUGAUCCUGGCUCGAAUGAACGCUGGCGGCAGGCCUAACACAUGCAAGUCGAACGGAGUUAUAUUGUAGCUUGCUAUGGUAUAACUUAGUGGCAGACGGGUGAGUAAUGUAUAGGAAUCUACCUAGUAGUACGGAAUAAUUGUUGGAAACGGCAACUAAUACCGUAUACGCCCUACGGGGGAAAAAUUUAUUGCUAUUAGAUGAGCCUAUAUUAGAUUAGCUAGUUGGUGGAGUAAUAGCCUACCAAGGCAAUGAUCUAUAGCUGAUCUGAGAGGAUGAUCAGCCACACUGGAACUGAGAUACGGUCCAGACUCCUACGGGAGGCAGCAGUGGGGAAUAUUGGACAAUGGGCGAAAGCCUGAUCCAGCCAUGCCGCAUGAGUGAAGAAGGCCUUUGGGUUGUAAAGCUCUUUUAGUGAGGAAGAUAAUGACGGUACUCACAGAAGAAGUCCUGGCUAACUCCGUGCCAGCAGCCGCGGUAAUACGGAGAGGGCUAGCGUUAUUCGGAAUUAUUGGGCGUAAAGGGCGCGUAGGCGGAUUAGUAAGUUAAAAGUGAAAUCCCAAGGCUCAACCUUGGAAUUGCUUUUAAAACUGCUAAUCUAGAGAUUGAAAGAGGAUAGAGGAAUUCCUAGUGUAGAGGUGAAAUUCGUAAAUAUUAGGAGGAACACCAGUGGCGAAGGCGUCUAUCUGGUUCAAAUCUGACGCUGAGGCGCGAAGGCGUGGGGAGCAAACAGGAUUAGAUACCCUGGUAGUCCACGCUGUAAACGAUGAAUGUUAAAUAUGGGAAGUUUUACUUUCUGUAUUACAGCUAACGCGUUAAACAUUCCGCCUGGGGACUACGGUCGCAAGAUUAAAACUCAAAGGAAUUGACGGGGACCCG
rnacentral:rRNA from 1 species